CAUGGGUUUAAAUUUAAGCUCUGAAUAGCUGCAAUAGCUUAGAUUCUCAAGGUAGUAUAACAUCUAACUCCUGUUGGAGGUAGGGCAGUUCAGUCUCUGGGAAAUUGCCAUUGUCUGAAAUAUGACAGUGACCGAGAUAAGCACAGCCUCAGGCAUCUCCUCUUGCCUUAAUAGCUAGAUAAGUUGUUUACUGUCUAGGUCAGUAGAUGGAUGUCUCACACGCAGUAUGUCACACCAUCUGUGAGCUAUGACCAGAUAAUGCUACUGCUUCUGCAAAGGCCUCAGAAUCAGUCACACAAUUGUCUGCAACUCCGAACAGCAGCUGCAAGAUCACAACUGUGCACAGUAGUCCCGCCCCAUAGACUGUUGCGGUUCCUUAGCCCAAAUCCAUCAACAGAAAAUGUGGAGGGCAUAUGGGAAGAGAGGGAAGAUGAUAUUUGUCUAAGAGCACCAUGGAACAAAACCACUUGAAUUUAAGAAGAAAACAAAAACAUGGAGGGCUUCAGAGAGCUGUGUGUGCUGUGGACCUCCCAGAUGGCUGCCAGCCCCACAGAGAGUGAGGCAGCAGUCCCAACCAGUGGAACACUCUUAAGAGCUGUAAGAAGAAAGUUUUAAGAGGGAAGUUCAUGUUCAAGCUAUCCUGCAAGCUCCACAGAGGAUGUCAAAACCUGCUGAUAUCUAGCAGAGUCAACUCCAAGUUUGUGUAUCCUGGUCCACUCUACCUUUCCAUCAGGCAGUACAUGUGGAAAUGGAAAAGUAGCUCUCUAAUUAAUCAAAGUCAGAUCUGCCUGAACGCCUGGAGUUGCUGCUGAUCCUUGUCCCAGCUUCUACCAUGUUCUCUCUCUAUGUUUUUUACCUUGAAAACUUCUGCUCUGAGCUGGGAAUGCCUGAAGGGCUUGCACGAACAAGGGAGAAUGAGGGAAGAGAAGGAAAGAACUGAAAAAGUGCAAAAAGAAAGGAGGGAAGGAAGUGAAAAGCAAUCCUGCAAGCCAGAUUUUGCCACAGGACAGACUGCCAUCUUCAGGGGAAAAGGGAUCUGAGAUGAAAACUGCUCAUGUAAAGUAGCCUCUCCCAGAAGCUGUCCCAUUUUUCUACAGCAACAUGACCAGUAUUGACUGCUUUCUAGGAUUCCUCCACCUUUAUAGCUUAUCUCUGUCCCUGCUGUAUCGUGUUCAAACUGUACAGACCCAGCUCAACCCAAUUCCUGGCCAGUUUAAUGAUGAGCUUCAAAAUUAAGCUUACUUUUCUGAGAUGAUCUGAGAAUAGCAUUCAAGGCUAAUUGAGAAUUUUUUUUACACAUCGUUUAAAGAUAUUGAUUCUUUAACAAAUAAAAAAGGCAAAACUAGUAUAGAGGAAAAGGCUGUAUGAAUGUUUUUUCAGGGGAAAAGUAAACAAAUGGAAAAAUAAAAAAUAUAUAUUUUAAAUACUUAUCUUUUAAAAAGAAUUGUUGAAUCAUAUGAAAUUAUCCCCUUUUGGAUAGCUAUUAGCAUUGCUAUGCAUCCUAAUAUACAAGAGAAACACUGAGUAUUCCAGUGCUGAAUUCCUAUCUCGUAUGCUUUACUAUUCUCUCUCCAGCAUUAGUAUUUUGGAAUUUACCUCACUUACCCUUCCACACACUUAUGCAGUGCUGACUGAUGCUAAUAAAAGUCACAUCUACAUGUGCAGAUUAGAACUCGGUUAUCUAAAGAGUUCAAUUUGAGCAUGAAAUACAGGCAGAGCAAAUAUGGGAUACAUAAGGGAUUUUGAGACUUUGUUAAAAGUAAGGAAAUGGUACUGGGAUUUUGUUAAAUGAUAGGCAAGGAAAUCUUCCAGCUAUCACAAAGUGAUGUCAGAAUGAUAUUGCUGUGAACUGGGAGCACAGUAGGAUUUUCUUGCAGGUUGUCAGAG
ensembl:lncRNA